rnacentral:lncRNA from 1 species
GCAAAACAACUCCUGCUGCCAUGUGCAAGAUCUGUGGCUCCAGCUGUAAUUACUUCCUCCAUGCCUUUUUGUUGCUGUUGUCCCAAGGAACAGUUCGUGGAAAUGAAUGUGCCACCCUAACUUCCACAGAGUCACCUCUGUCCUUGAGUCUCUUAGGUGCUCCAAUCUUGACCCCUGGGAGCAGUGGCCAGCAUCGUGGUAAACCAGACAAGGGCCCGCCUUUCAGUGGGUGUUACCCGAGGGCAAAGGGAGUCCGUGGAACUGUGAACGGAGGGAAAGCGCCUCCCACGGCAGCAUCUUCUUGCAUCUGGCCCUCCCUGGGUGCCUCAGGUUUCUCCCCCAUCCCAGCCUCACAGAGAUUGACAGCCCUUUUAAUAUGA